CAGAGGUCAGAGCACAUGACUUCUACACCUAUGGUCCCAGGUUCGAAUCCC
rnacentral:tRNA from 1 species